AUACAUGCAAGUCGAGCGGAAGAUGGGAGCUUGCUCCCUGAUGUUAGCGGCGGACGGGUGAGUAACACGUGGGUAACCUGCCUGUAAAUGGGUAAUCCGGAAACCGGGGCUUACCGGAUGGUUGUUUGAACCAUGGUUCAACAUAAAAGGUGGCUUCGCUACCACUUACAGAUGGACCCGCGGCGCAUUAGCUAGUUGGUGAGGUAACGGCUCACCAAGGCAACGAUGCGUACCGACCUGAGAGGGUGAUCGGCCACACUGGGACUGAGACACGGCCCAGACUCCUACGGGAGGCAGCAGUAGGGAAUCUUCCGCAAUGGACGAAAGUCUGACGGAGCAACGCCGCGUGAGUGAUGAAGGUUUUCGGAUCGUAAAGCUCUGUUGUUAGGGAAGAACAAGUACCGUUCGAAUAGGGCGGUACCUUGACGGUACCUAACCAGAAAGCCACGGCUAACUACGUGCCAGCAGCCGCGGUAAUACGUAGGUGGCAAGCGUUGUCCGGAAUUAUUGGGCGUAAAGGGCUCGCAGGCGGUUUCUUAAGUCUGAUGUGAAAGCCCCCGGCUCAACCGGGGAGGGUCAUUGGAAACUGGGGAACUUGA
rnacentral:rRNA from 1 species